CACAGCGGUAGAUCGCCUAAGUCCAGCGACGUCCUGUCGCAACGGCGAUCGACUGUACAUCCUGUACG
rnacentral:sRNA from 1 species